AGAGUUUGAUCCUGGCUCAGGAUGAACGCUAGCGGCAGGCCUAACACAUGCAAGUCGAGGGGUAGAAUGUCUUCGGAUGUUUGAGACCGGCGCACGGGUGCGUAACGCGUAUGCAACCUACCUCUUACUGGGGAAUAGCCCGGAGAAAUUCGGAUUAAUGCCCCAUAUGCUCGUACGACCUCAUGGUCGAGCGAGGAAAGCUCCGGCGGUAAGAGAUGGGCAUGCGUCCUAUUAGCUUGUUGGUGAGGUAACGGCUCACCAAGGCUACGAUAGGUAGGGGGCCUGAGAGGGUGACCCCCCACACUGGUACUGAGACACGGACCAGACUCCUACGGGAGGCAGCAGUGAGGAAUAUUGGACAAUGGGCGAGAGCCUGAUCCAGCCAUGCCGCGUGCAGGAAGACUGCCCUAUGGGUUGUAAACUGCUUUUAUACAGGAAGAAACACCUCUACGUGUAGAGGCUUGACGGUACUGUAAGAAUAAGGAUCGGCUAACUCCGUGCCAGCAGCCGCGGUAAUACGGAGGAUCCAAGCGUUAUCCGGAUUUAUUGGGUUUAAAGGGUCCGUAGGCGGGUCUUUAAGUCAGUGGUGAAAGCCUGCAGCUUAACUGUAGAAUUGCCAUUGAUACUGGAGACCUUGAGUGUAGUAGAAGUAGGCGGAAUAAGGCAUGUAGCGGUGAAAUGCAUAGAUAUGCCUUAGAACACCGAUUGCGAAGGCAGCUUACUAUGUUACAACUGACGCUGAGGGACGAAAGCGUGGGGAGCGAACAGGAUUAGAUACCCUGGUAGUCCACGCCGUAAACGAUGAUUACUCGCUGUUAGCGAUAUACAGUUAGCGGCCAAGCGAAAGCAUUAAGUAAUCCACCUGGGGAGUACGCCGGCAACGGUGAAACUCAAAGGAAUUGACGGGGGCCCGCACAAGCGGUGGAGCAUGUGGUUUA
rnacentral:rRNA from 1 species